rnacentral:rRNA from 1 species
CACAUUCGUCCCUGAAAACAGAGUUUUACGAUCCGAAAACCUUCUUCACUCACGCGGCGUUGCUCCGUCAGACUUUCGUCCAUUGCGGAAGAUUCCCCACUGCUGCCUCCCGUAG